rnacentral:rRNA from 1 species
GACGAACGCUGGCGGCGUGCUUAACACAUGCAAGUCGAACGGAAAGGCCCUGCUUUUGUGGGGUGCUCGAGUGGCGAACGGGUGAGUAACACGUGAGUAACCUGCUCUUGACUUUGGGAUAACUUCAGGAAACUGGGGCUAAUACCGGAUAGGAGCUCCUGCUGCAUGGUGGGGGUUGGAAAGUUUCGGCGGUUGGGGAUGGACUCGCGGCUUAUCAGCUUGUUGGUGGGGUAGUGGCUUACCAAGGCUUUGACGGGUAGCCGGCCUGAGAGGGUGACCGGCCACAUUGGGACUGAGAUACGGACCAGACUCCUACGGGAGGCAGCAGUGGGGAAUAUUGCACAAUGGGCGGAAGCCUGAUGCAGCAACGCCGCGUGCGGGAUGACGGCCUUCGGGUUGUAAACCGCUUUCGCCUGUGACGAAGCGUGAGUGACGGUAAUGGGUAAAGAAGCACCGGCUAACUACGUG